rnacentral:lncRNA from 1 species
AUCAAAUUAGGCAAAGAAAUAACAAGUGGCUCCCAAGCAGUUGGACAUGGGAUCGACCGGGAUCACAGAGACAUUCCUUAUGUACAUGGCAGGCCCUUCUGAAUAAACUACCUACAAUAGACAAUAUGAAAAGAAGAGGUAUCCAUAAUGUUAACCGAUGCUCCCUUUGCAUGCAACAAGAAGAAACUGUUGACCAUCUCUAUUUUGCUUGUGACUAUACUAAAUGGAUAUGGUAGGAGAUUCUCCAGCGAUUUGAACUCAAUA